AGAGUUUGAUCAUGGCUCAGAUUGAACGCCGGCGGCAUGCCUUACACAUGCAAGUCGAACGGCAGCACGGACUUCGGUCUGGUGGCGAGUGGCGAACGGGUGAGUAAUAUAUCGGAACAUACCCAGUAGUGGGGGAUAACUAUCCGAAAGGAUAGCUAAUACCGCAUACGGUCUGUGGAUGAAAGCAGGGGAUCUUCGGACCUUGUGCUAUUGGAAUGGCCGAUAUCUGAUUAGCUAGUUGGUAGGGUAAAAGCCUACCAAGGCGACGAUCAGUAGCUGGUCUGAGAGGACGACCAGCCACACUGGAACUGAGACACGGUCCAGACUCCUACGGGAGGCAGCAGUGGGGAAUUUUGGACAAUGGGGGCAACCCUGAUCCAGCAAUGCCGCGUGAGUGAAGAAGGCCCUCGGGUUGUAAAGCUCUUUUGUCAGGGAAGAAACGGAGUUCUCUAAUAUAGGAUUCUAAUGACGGUACCUGAAGAAUAAGCACCGGCUAACUACGUGCCAGCAGCCGCGGUAAUACGUAGGGUGCAAGCGUUAAUCGGAAUUACUGGGCGUAAAGCGUGCGCAGGCGGUUUUGUAAGUCUGAUGUGAAAUCCCCGGGCUCAACCUGGGAACUGCAUUGGAGACUGCAAGGCUAGAGUGUGUCAGAGGGGGGUAGAACUCCACGUGUAGCAGUGAAAUGCGUAGAGAUGUGGAGGAAUACCGAUGGCGAAGGCAGCCCCCUGGGAUAACACUGACGCUCAUGCACGAAAGCGUGGGGAGCAAACAGGAUUAGAUACCCUGGUAGUCCACGCCCUAAACGAU
rnacentral:rRNA from 1 species